GGUCCUGGCCUUCUUCUGGGGCCACCUGCAGGGUCCACCCUCCUCGGGACUCCAUCUCGCUUCUGUCACCUAAAACAGAAGAGAAACGAUCUCAUUGUUUCCAGAACAAAGAUGGAUCUGUUCAGCACAGCCUUUGAACUAUGAAUCCCGAUGGCUAACAUCACAUUCAGAGCACAAGAUGGACACGCUUGUGGCACCCUUUUAAAUCACUGCUUCAUUGAGCACGGGAACCCAGAUUCUUCUCCUUUUGUUCUGUGUUCCUUUUUCUGUGGAAGACAGGUGUCCUUGUGAAGGAAGCACAGGGAGUUCUGACAUGGAGAAGUGGAGGCCAUGUGACGAUGGAGGCAGAUAUUGGAGUGAUGCAGCCACACUCCAAGGAAUACCUGGAGUUGCCACAACCUGGAAGAGGCAAGGAAAGAUCCCCACCCAGAGCCAUCAGAGAGCACAGCACUGUCGACACCUUGAUUUCAGACUUCUGGCUUCCAGGACUAUGAGAAUAAAUUUCUGUUGUUUUAAACUGCCCAGUUUGUGGCAGUGUGUUAUAGCAGCCUACAGAGACUGGUUUAGCACCCUCGACAGAAUAAGUGUGUUGUGUGGGGCUCUCCUGAUCCCUAGUGAUGGGGAGUCAGAUUAGUGUCUGAACUGCUUAGUGUCUGAACAGAGGGUUGGGGAAGCUGGGUUGAACUGAAGAACCAGCAGUCCCCACAUGGCAGGAAGGGACCCUGAAGGGUGCCUGCUAGCCAUGUGCAAAGAGCAUCUUUGGAUUGGUCCCCAGAUGCCCUGCUCCCAUGGGUGGCUCCUCUGUUACAACAAGAACUGCCUUCCAGCACCAGAUGCAGCAAGUGGAAGCUGUGGAGCAUAGCUGAGUCUCUUCGCCUCCUUGAUCUGUUCCCAGGAGGCACUGUCCAACUAUCCACUGUACACGGGUGACAUUCCAGCCAUGGACCCAUGACCUGAGGCUGAGCACAGCAAAGACAAUGGAGGCUCUGGGUCCUGAGGCCCCAGGAGCCUGUCCUUAAUGGUGCAUUACAGCUCUCCCAAGCUGUUCUGACAGUGACCUCCCAUCUGCCCCAGGUGAGCAUGCUUGCACGUGGGUGCUCACCCAGCCUUUCUAGUUGUCCUCAGGGCUUCUGGUGUUGGGAACAGGAUGCAGAGCUACCAAUUUAGAGGACUGAGAGGUUAACAUGGUCAAGGUGGAGUCCUGCAGAAUUGCAGAGCAACAGCACACACAGGAAAGUUAAUGAGAUUCCACAUCCUCAUGGAGGUUGGACACGGUACAGUGAGGUCUUAUUUGCCCAAGAAAAUGUGCAGGGAAGUCGCCUGGCGCGGUGGUUCACACCUGUAAUCCCAGCACUUUGGGAGGCCGAGUGGGUGGAUCACCUGAGGUCGGGAGUUCGAGACCAGCCUGACC